rnacentral:rRNA from 1 species
UAUCCAGAGAUCUCUGAAUGGGGGAACCCACCCGGCAUAAGCCGGGUAUCUUGUACUGAAUCCAUAGGUGCAAGAGGCGAACCAGGGGAACUGAAACAUCUAAGUACCCUGAGGAAAAGAAAUCAACCGAGAUUCCCUAAGUAGUGGCGAGCGAACGGGGACUAGCCCUUAAGUUGAUUUGAGUGUAGUGGAAGGCUCUGGAAAGUGCCGCCGUAGUGGGUGAUAGCCCCGUACACGAAACGCUCUUAUCAAUGAAAUCGAGUAGGACGGGGCACGAGAAACCUUGUCUGAACAUGGGGGGACCAUCCUCCAAGGCUAAAUACUCCUGAC